rnacentral:rRNA from 1 species
AUUGAACGCUAGCGGCAGGCCUAACACAUGCAAGUCGAGCGAGCGGCGGACGGGUGAGUAAUGUAUGGGGACUGCCCGAUAGAGGGGGAUAACUACUGGAAACGGUAGCGAAAACCGAAUACUAUCGGAUAACCCAUAUGGGAUUAGCUAGUAGGUGAGGUAAUGGCUCACCUAGGCGACGAUCCCUAGCUGGUCUGAGAUGAUGAUCAGCCAACCUGUGACUGAGACACAGCCCUGACACCUACGGAGGCAGCAGUGUGGAAUAUUGCACAAUGGGCGCAAGCCUGAUGCAGCCAUGCCGCGUGUAUGAAGAAGUUCCUAUGGUUGUAAAGUACUUUCAGUCGGGAUGCGUUACCGACAGAAGAAGCACCGGCUAACUCCGUGCCAGCAGCCGCGGUAAUUC